CUCGCGCACGUUUCGCAAUCUGCCCUCAUCCCAAUAACAUGUGGUGCUGGUGUUUUGUCCGGAGGGUUUAUUCUUUGCCACGGCACCGAGGAUUACUGAUCGUCACAGCUGGAAUAUAAAUCAGAGUUUAAGAAUUAAGUAACAGGGAGACCUCCAGAGGGAUGUCCCAGCUUAGUGUUAACUACGGGGUAUGGACUUUGGAGCCACUCGGGACUCGGCCUUUCUUUACUCAAGGAUGCCACAGAGGAGAGAAACAGACCUUGUGACGUGAUUGAAAGAUGCUGGACAGCUACAAAGGACAACAGGUUGGGAGAUGGAUUUUGUCUAAAGACCAGAACAAGACCUCAACUUUACUUCGGCGAUACCUCAAAAUGGCUGAAUGUGCAUCACAAGUAAAUUGAAUUGCAAAUCCUUGAUCGAGUGUCGCUCUUUUCUAUGUUAUUAAAUCUCAGUCAAUCUCUGUCAGCCGAACUGAUUUCAGAUAUGGGAUAUAGGAGUCAGAUCUGGUGAGUAGUAUAUGUGGAAAGGAGCUUUAUUCAAAGGUGCGCUGUAGGUUCUAUAAUUAGAACAUAAUAAACCAUCGAACUAAACAGUUAAGCUAGCCACAAAGAGUCUUGCCCAAAGGUCAACGCUAGAUUCAACGAGAUAAAACUCUGGCCUAGAGCAUGAUAAUACGUUGGUUGUUUCCAAAAAGGGAAAAGAAAAGCAUCUCCCAAUCUAUAAAACAAAGAUAUCCGUUAAAUGGGAUGCAUUCAAUUAUCAUGUAAUCUGCUGUAGGGAAGCUUUCUAAAAUUAAGACUUUAUA